GGUUGACCUCGGAUCAGGUAGGGAUACCCGCUGAACUUAAGCAUAUCAAUAAGCGGAGGAAAAGAAACCAACAGGGAUUGCCUCAGUAACGGCGAGUGAAGCGGCAACAGCUCAAAUUUGAAAUCUGGCCCCCCCGGGGCCCGAGUUGUAAUUUGUAGAGGAUGCUUCGGGUGCGGCGCCGGUCUAAGUUCCUUGGAACAGGACGUCAUAGAGGGUGAGAAUCCCGUUCAUGACCGACGACCUAGCCCGUGUGAAGCUCCUUCGACGAGUCGAGUUGUUUGGGAAUGCAGCUCUAAAUGGGUGGUAAAUUCAUCUAAAGCUAA
rnacentral:rRNA from 1 species